CGCCUCAGGCCGGGAUAUGCCUGGAUGGGGCAGUCCUGGGAUGUUGGGGGCUUAUCCUGGAGAUCGUCUGGUCACAGCGCCCGCUGCCAGGGGAGUAGUUCUGCUGGUUGCUGCCAUGCUCCACAGGAGGAACUCAAAGCUCUGGCUAGGAUUUUUUUGCAGAAUUCUACAGUCAUUGCAUCCUGGUGGAGAACGCAGGGAUUCCUGUUACACUGCUAGCACAUAGAAAAAUUCCUGGAGGAAUGCCACAGGUUGCUGCUCUGCAUCUGCUCAGAGAAUCAACUGUGCCCAAAGCCAUCAAUUUCCCCCAGCAGUUCAAUGCACAGGAAAACUACCUGGAACUUGUAUGUUGCAGUAAGUCAUUGAGAACUUGGGGGUUUGUGUUCAUCCUAACACAGACAUGUGAUGGCAGCUGUGAAAAUAAGUGCAGUUCCCCGGAGGCAAAGCAGUGCUAUGUUUGUGCUGCAGCAGCCUGGGCCAGAGGAAGGUGAGAGAAACCACAGUGGGACAGGUGAGGCACCAAAAAUGCCUUUAUCUUACCUGUGGCCUUUUGGACAAACUCCAGUUGUAUCAACCCACAGCAUCAGACAAAGCUGCUUUUAAGAACACUGAUGCAAAAAUGAGAUCUUGGGUGAUCAUUUCUGGUUCAAGUAGCGGUUUAUAUAUUUAUUAUAAUUAUACACAACCUUGACAAUCUGUAUUGCCAUUCAAAAAUAAAUCCAAGUCUUGUCAA